AGCCUCGCCUCGGCUUUCCGCUACGCGCUUCUUCGCGGGCUGAGGGGGCUCUGCAAGGUGGGGAGUGAGCGUUGAAGAGGAAGGAAACUUCUCGGCAGGAAGAGCACGCAGGGGCCAGCAGGCGCUAGCUUUCCGGUGCCGAGCAAGACCUUAGUUAGAAGUGGAGUGCCUAUAAAGUGAACUGAAAUAAGUCUUGACCUCUUCAUUCCAUGGAUCCUUUGGGUGCUCCUUCCCAUUUUGUGGAUAUCGAUACAUUGCCAGGAUGGGCUGAUCUUUAUGAGGCAGACCAAUUGAAAACCAGUCCAGUUCCAUUUGAAAACAAGCAAGUUGAUAUUCGAUCUCCCUUCCCAUACAGGAAAGACAUCAAUGCAAAAGUAAUAUUUUGGAAGGGGGAUGUAGCAUUGCUGAACUGCACAGCCAUAGUGAACACAAGCAAUGAAUCCCUCACGGAUAAAAAUCCUGUGUCUGAAAGUGUUUAUAUGCAUGCAGGACCUGACCUGAGGGCUGAGCUGCAGAAACUCAAAGGCUGUCGGACUGGGGAGGCAAAGCUGACAAAGGGAUAUAAUCUCGCUGCCCGUUUCAUCAUACACACUGUGGGACCCAAGUACAAAAGUCGAUACCGAACAGCAGCCGAGAGCUCAUUGUAUAGCUGCUAUCGUAACAUCCUUCAGCUAGCACGGGAGCAAGCAAUGUCCUCCAUUGGAUUCUGUGUGAUAAACACUGUGAAACGAGGUUACCCUUUAGUGGAUGCCACCCACAUAGCACUGCGAACAGUCAGGCGAUUUUUGGAGGUUCAUGGGGAAACUCUUGAAAAAGUGGUGUUUGCAGUGUCUGAGCUUGAAGAGGGUACUUACCAGAAGAUGUUGCCCCUGUAUUUCCCACGAUCGCUGGAAGAGGAGACUCGGUCCUUGCCUUUGCUCCCGGCAGAUAUUGGCAAUGCAGAAGGGGAGCCAGUGGUGCCAGAACGGCAGAUCCGAAUUAGCGAGAAGCCUGGUGUUUUGGAGGACAAUUCUGAUGAGGAGGGGCUAGAAGCAGACCUCUCGUUUAUUGGCUCUCAUGCUUUUGCCCGAAUGGAGGGAGAUGUUGAUAAACAGCGGCGUCUCAUCCUUCAAGGGCAACUCUCAGAGGCAGCACUGCAGAAGCAACAUCAGAGAAAUUACAACCGCUGGCUUUGUCGGGCGAGAGCUGAAGACCUGUCUGAUAUCGCUUCCCUUAAAGCUUUGUACCAAACAGGCGUUGAUAAUUGUGGUCGUACCGUGAUAGCAGUAGUUGGAAGGAAUAUUCCUGUAACUCUUAUAGAUAUGGAGAAGGCUCUCUUGUAUUUUAUCCACGUGAUGGACCACAUUGUAGCAAAGGAAUAUGUCAUUGUAUAUUUCCAUACGCUCACUAAUGUCUACAAUCACUUAGAUUCAGAUUUCUUGAAGAAGCUUUCUGACAUUGUUGAUGUCAAGUACAAAAGAAAUUUGAAGGCUCUUUACUUUGUCCAUCCAACAUUUCGCUCCAAGGUUUCAACAUGGUUUUUCACAACCUUUACUGUUUCUGGUCUAAAGGACAAAGUCCACCAUGUGGAAAGCCUCCAGCAGCUGUUUACAGCCAUUCCCCCUGAACAGAUUGACUUUCCCCCAUUUGUUCUCGAAUAUGAUUCUAGGGUAGGUUGCUAGUGACUGAAUAGAGUGACUAGUAGACUAAAUGAAGUCUGGUCUUCCUCAUGCUUGAAGAGAUAUCUGAGGGGAUUGCUUUCGAAACAGCCAGUGCCUUGAAGCUACUUUAGACAGGCUGUGUAAAGGGGUUAGAUGCAGAAGAGACAGAAAGAAGCCUUGGCUGCAUUGUUUUGAUAAAGCUGCAACACUUAAAAAUACACUUUGUCAUGAUCCGUAUUGCACAAUUUUCCAAGCAUGCAGAAGUAGCAAUUUUAUGGCAUAUUUGGAGUAGAGAGCAAUACCCAUGGUGAUGCUAAUAUUACGAUCUGGAGAAGCUGAUUGUGCAGUGCUUCAGUCAGCUUCAGUUAACUCCUUGUAUUCAGUGAACACACACGGAGAAAAAGAAUAUCUUGUGAUUAACUGUGAAGAGUUACUUUAUUUUUAACUGUGUCAUUUAAUACACAUCUUCAUUGUAUAUUUUUUCACACUAUAUCUCAGUCAAUUACUAAUUGCCUAUAUUGUGGCAUGACAAUAUAUAGCAUUUCUGUAGCAUUUUCCUAUUUAUAAUAUGCCUAACACAUAAUAGGGUUGCACCUUCUCCUGUACAUUAAUAUUCCUAAACAUAACAAAAAUAAAUGACUAUUCAAUAAGCUUUUGUUCCCCUGUCUACCCCCUGCUAAUUCUAAUAACUUUUGUGAAUUUCAGUACAAACACAACUUCUAAGACUCUCAUCAUCCAUUCUUUUGCAUACAGGGUAUCUUCCUGAUUCCAUUUAUAACUGAUUGUAAUUCAUGCAGCCAUUUGUAAAUUAAUCAUAUGCACGAAAUUUAAUUAGUCCCAUUUUCUGAGCUAUUACUAUCAGUUUCAAGGUCUGAUUAUUCAUCCUUGUCUCCAUCUUAGUUAUCAGGGGCUUGUAUAAACUGAAGAUCUGCCCAGAUUGAAACAAGCUUCUAUACAUGUUCACACAUCAGUUUAUUUCUUGAUCUGGUGUGAGUAUUUCCAGACUUCAGCCAGUUUUUCCACAUGUUGCGGAAGAUGGGAGGAAUUUGAGGUAGGUGGGAAGCAAGAGGAGUCGGGGGCUGUGCUGUGAAAGGGCCGGCCACCAUGCUGCACGAGGGAUGCGCCUGGCAGAAUCCCAGACACCUUCCCUGGACCAAUCCCUGAUGGCCUCCUGAUGUUCUGACAAAAGUGCACUGCCUGAUUCAGAUACAAUGACUGCUGAAGAAAUGGGCUUUCGAAUCUCAGGGGUUCUACAGCUGAACCCAGAAGACAUCCUCUUCAAGGCAAUAUCGAUUAUGCUGCUGGGUAAAUUAAGAGUUUUAAGUAUUAUUUCUUGAAGAGCUGCUUCAUUUUUUAGUAAACUUCCACAGAGAUCAACACUCUACCCCAUCAAAUUCUACUACCGUGUUUCAGUGCCGCUAUUUCAUUCUUUACAUUCUUCCUCCUCCUCCUUGAAGACUGCAGCUAUAAUAGCUGUACGUUAAGCUACAAAGGCUUAUAACUGAAGUUGUUUGUCGAUAAAUUUUUAGAGGGUGUCCAGUUCGUGAUGCCAUUAGGAAGCAAAUUUAGCCUAUAACAUGGACAUCCUGUAGUAGUAGGUAGAUGCUUGUCUUCAAUUCUGCUUUCAUCUUGUGUUGUCAGCCAGCAAAGCAAAUACCUGAAUUCUCCCAAUUUUUUGUAGAACUUUAUAUAUUUUACAACUAAUAUAAAAUCAGCUAAUAUUGAUACCUCCCGUAUCAAUGCAUCUGUUUAAAAAAAAAACUUAGCUGAGGUAGUGUUAUCACAAACUUUGUGAUUCCUUCUCCCCUCACAUUUGUCCAUCUGUAAGCACUACAAGCUAUGGUGCUUUGUUGAUGUUUGCUUGCACUGAUUCUGUUUUGUGCUCGUAUUCCAACUCUAAAGGAGGCUUGCUGAAAUGAAAGAGUGCCUGGUGAGCAAACAGUAUGCUGAUCUUAGUAAUUUAAAAGCAUUUCACCUCUUACGCACGUUCAGUUCCACAAGACUGUAUUGCCCUUACAAGAGCUUGGCCCCCUUUUUUCCUGAUCUUCAGGUGUCCUCUUGUCCACAAAAUGAAGCUCCUUUGUAUUUUUUGUUGUUUUAAAUCACGAGAGCUUUUCCAGGUCUUCAUAUCUCUUGUGAGGCUCUUUGUGGGCCGUGGUGACUUCCCCUCCUGACCCUGGUGCUGCACUAAGUGGCUUGGUGGACACCGAUGAGUAAGGUCACUCUAGCGUGCCAACCCAGGUCUUGGUGUUGCCUGCUAGUUCGCCUCCCUUAUCCAUAAUCUAGUCAUGGAAGAGUGAGGUCUUACUAUGAGAAGAGCCGAUUCUUAAUGUCAGGCUAGCAUCCGGCUAGAGGAAACCAUGAUCUAUCAGCUGGAGAGAUCAGAAGGAGGGAAUAGGCUGUGGGGAAAGUCAGACCAAUGUAUGUGCCCCUUACAUUCUCUUGCCAGGACCACAUUUCCCUUGGCUCAUAACCGCUGCUCUAGGGACAACCCUCUCAACUGUUCACUCAAUCUACCUGCAUGCUUUCAGGUCUUCCAUGCUCACACGCACCGCUCCAGUAUUCAGCAGCCUAUCCAUUCACUUUAUGCAAUGCCAACAGCCUGCCAAUAAUCCUCCCUGCUAACAAAACAGCAGCCAAGCCAACAAAUGACUGGAGAUAUAUUUUUUUUCUGGGGAGGGUGGGUCACAGAGCCAGGGUGGGAACUCCCCGGAGCACAGCCUCACCCCAUCUCAUGGGUUCUGAUAUAAAGUAUAUCUCCUCCGAAAGUCUGUCGUCCUGUUUUCUUAGCAGAUUUCAAAAGAUCAGCACCUAGAAGUUGUGCCUUUUCCUUCAAAUAUUUGUAAACUAAGUACCUGGAUACCCUUCUCUGCAGUGCAAUUACUGGGUGUCUCAUGAUUUUUCAGCAGCCCCACCAGAUCCUUUUUUUCUGUAUGUGAGUUCAUAAAUAUAAAUUGCUCUCUGCUCUGAAAAGCACAGAUGUGUUAAGAACUUCUUUUGCUGUACUGGUGCAUUUAAAUAUAGACCGAGGAAGUAUUCCCUUUGAAAAAUAAGAGGCAUACUGACUUCCAAGCAAAGGGAGAUAAAUAGCUGGUGUUGACUUAAAAACAGUCUGCAAACCAACUACCCUUGGUGUCUUCCUGGUGUUCUCUGGCUGGAUUUCAUCUCUCCAGCUGGGGCAAGUUCUGUAAGUUCCGGGUGGCGAGCCUUGGGCAGCAGCAAUGCUCUUCCUCACAACUGGCUGGCUGGCUGGCUGGCUGGCUGGGAGCAGUGUGAGCGGUUUUGUUUUCCAGCUGCUUUUUCUGAAGGAACGGAGGCAGCUCCUUCAGCAAUGUUAGGCUCCCUGCAGACUGCCUUAAGCCUGAGUGCAGAAGAUCCAGCAUUAGUAGUCAGAGUAAUUAAGGCAAUUUUUGCAAGCAGCUGCUCAGGACUGCAGAUGCCAUUUGAAGAGACCACACAAGCUGCGCAGUAGUUUACUUCCCAGUUCUCCGGUCUGCACAAGGAAAAUGGGACAUGCUAUUCUUAUCCCUCUUCUCCAGACCUCUGAUUCUGCUGUUUCUGGUUUUCUGACACCUUGUGACAUACUGCUUGCCAAUAUCAUACAUGCCAAGCUGACCCAAUCUAUUUACAGAGAUCAGAGAAAGGGGUUUCCUCCUCACCUCUGUUAUUUUUUUACAAUGAGAUGUUUGCAAGGACACAAUCAGAAAACUAAAUCACAAUGAACUGUUUCAGAUCUAUCUAUCCAGUGGAAAAGUUGAUUUAUGGACAUGGAAAUAGAUUUUUUUCUGGAUAGCAUGAUUGCCCAAUCCCACCCCCAGUGAAUACCAUGUUCCCAAGAGAUUCAUGGACCAGGUUUUUGUCUUGAAAGAAAGGUACAGUAUCUGUUCGACAGUGUUUUAUGGUCUUUGCAUAUUGAAGCUGCUGUUAGUGCUGAUACAUUUGCAGAGUUCCAGUAGGGAUAUCUGGAAGUUGGGCAAAGCACUGCUAUGACUCCUGAAGCUACUACAAAGAUCAGCCUUGUAAAAUGCUACUUAGCUGGGAAUCUGUUCCUCUGUUUCUUUUGCUGGAUAAUGUGAGAUGUCAAGGUGCUGCUCCUGGUCUCUUACGGAAUAAAACGGAAGAACGAA